ensembl:antisense 4930534D22Rik RIKEN cDNA 4930534D22 gene
CUGCCGCCCGGGGAUCCUGAGCCCGCGGCGCGCUCACCCUUCUCCUUGGUCAUGAUGGAGAUGAGCGGCAUCCGCGGGCGGUCACUGAACACUUCAGCCUGCUGCACUAGCGCCUCGCGCACGCUGUGGAAGUCGCUGAGGACCACCACCAGACGGUGGCCGAUGAAGAAGCUGAAGAUGUUGCCAUAGACACGGGCCAUCCUGGCCAGGUACACAUGCUGGCCCACCGUGUCCGUCUGGCUGCCGGAGCCCAGCCAGAACUGCGGUCGUAGAAAGCGCGGCACCAGCAAGUGCCCGAAGUUACCCACGAGUGGCCGAGGCUUGGGCCCCGGAGGGAUGCCGCAGGCGCGUUGCCGCCGCAGCCAAACCCAGCCUAGCAGCACCGCCAGCAGGCAAAGUAGCAGCGCGCCUCCUGUCGCCCGCACAUGCAGUCUAGCUCCCGGCUGCUCCCCUGCCGCGGGACGCUGGCCCCCGAGCGAGGACAUGCCCCAGGUACCGCCUGCAUCUAGCUCCGCUGCAGACGCGCCGGCACCGCGACAGUAGCCGGCUACAUGACUCAAGGUCAACCGCGAGGCAGGGCAAGGCACGCCCUUCCGAUUGGCUGCGCCGCGUGCCCCUCUCGAGAUCCUCCAGUCAGCUGCUCCUGCAUAAGAAGUCAGCUGUCAUGUUGGUGAAGUAUCUGAGACUGCUUAAAAACUGAACAAGUCAGGAUGGACUCCUGGGUCUGAGACAAAGGGCUUUAUUCAUAGUACAUGGACAUGGUAGCAGCCCAUGUGAGCUUGUCACUUUGGACUCCCUAGUCCUCCAAGGUCCACAGUGAGGGACACUGAGGAAGUCAAGGUGGAUGUUACAUAGGUAUUGCCUGCAUCUCCACUGAGUAACUCUGAACUUGCAUCCCUGUCAUGCCCAACAAAUAUAGACUAAGAGGGAUGCUGAGGGCCCAUGGUAGGAUGCAUUUGGAUGAAACAAAAUCUAGGCCUAACUGCCCAUAGAAAUAAUUACCUUCCUGUUUCCUGGACCGUAAUGCUGAUAAGUGAUCUGAACUUUUCAAUAUAUGAGUCGGCAGCUGCAUUAGUUCUUUUUCUGUUGCCGUGUUACAAUACCAUGACCAAGGCAACUUAGAGAAGAAAGGAUUUGAUUGACAGUUCCAGAGGGGUAAGAGUAUGUCAUGGGGAAACAUGGGAGCAAGCCGCAGGCAUGGAAGCAGGGGCAGAAAGCUGAGGGCUCAUCUUGAACUGCAAGCAUGAAGCAGAGAGUGAACUAGAAAUGCACAUUUUUUAACUCUGGAAGCCCACCCCAUGCGCCAUGCCUCAGCUCCAAUAAGGCCACACCUCCUGAGCCUCUCCAAACACACCACCAACUGGAGACCAUGGGUUCAAAUGCCCACGAUGGGGAACAUGUCAUUCAACAGAGGUUAUCGGUAAGUUGGCACUGCAUCUCAACAGCAGGACUGCAUCUAUCAGCAGCUCUGGUGACACGCACACGCUGACACUCAGGUACCUGGUGAACAAAGCUUGGUUUGCUGUCUUCCUAUCUCUCAGGAGAUAAAAAUGUCAGGUUGAAUAUCAUCACAGCGCUCCAUCACCUCUAGACAGAAUGGCUUCAUUAUCUGGAGUGAAUGAAGGCUCUUUGUAAGCCCGUGACCACAGCGAUCUCUGAACAGAACACCCUAUAAUCUCAGAGCUGAGCCCACUGUUAAAACAGGCACAGAGGCAACACUGUUCCACUCCCCAGUGUGGCGGGGAUAGGUUGUAAAACUCUGCCAGUGACACUAGUGGAGACUUUGAUCCACGGUCGCUGUCUAGUCCUCGUGCUGGGACUCGCAGGCACACUAUGACUCUAAAAUCAGUAACUGAAACACAAGCCUCUCACCCAGCAUGGGUGGCAACCAACUUUUCUACGACCACUCUCAUUUUCGUUUUAUGUUCGUUAUUGCUCAGGAGCCUUGCACACGGUUCGGGCAUGUGAAGCGUCCCCUUGGCUCUGCAAUGGAGGCAGCUUAGGGAGUGAGCAGGGGCCCCAGAACAGGCCACUCCUUCCCUCAAGCACUUCUUAAAGCACGGGGAGAACUUGAUGCUUUCACAGGAAGCCCUGUGAGCUUCCUACCAAGAAAACAAGAGGACCAAUCAGCCUGUUGGUGGAAGCUCUGGACUGCGCUUAGUUCAAUGGAUCAUUCACAUCAGUACCACACAUUGUAGACAAGCACAGGGUGAGGCUGAGGCUGAGACUGCCACAGCAGUUGGCCUGUGAUCUGGAAAGGACGCCAUCACUGGGAUGAGCUUCCCUGCCACCCUGGCAGAUAGGACACAGGCUCUCUGUGGACCUUUGCUCUGUCACUUUCAGAAGGCACAGGGAUAAAGGCUGCACCACACCCAGCAACCCCAUCUCUGAGCCCUUUGUCUUACCUAGCUCCGCCCACCCCAUUGGGCUGCUUUUAUGUAGUCAUUUCAACUUCAUCAGGGAGUCCAAAUGAAGCCUUCUGAAGCCUGCCUUGGACAUGGUCUUGAGGCCAUUACACAGAGGAUCCUGCUGUGACAUUUCCUGCAGAACUUGGGGGCCAGGAAAGAACCUCCUUGUAUUGAGGGAUUAGUGAGCUUGCUUCUGUCAAGAGCAAUAAUCAUAAACUUGGAUUGUAUAACUGAUUUUUUUAUCCAUAAAUGUUCUAAUUUUUUAACCUUAAAAUUUAUUGGUAGGAAAGUAAUAAAUUUUAGUUUACUU